UGGUCCAUCUGCUCCUGUGCUAGGUGAUAGC
rnacentral:piRNA from 1 species